rnacentral:rRNA from 1 species
GGGUUGUGAGGUUAAGCGACUAAGCGUACACGGUGGAUGCCCUGGCAGUCAGAGGCGAUGAAGGACGUGCUAAUCUGCGAUAAGCGUCGGUAAGGUGAUAUGAACCGUUAUAACCGGCGAUUUCCGAAUGGGGAAACCCAGUGUGUUUCGACACACUAUCAUUAACUGAAUCCAUAGGUUAAUGAGGCGAACCGGGGGAACUGAAACAUCUAAGUACCCCGAGGAAAAGAAAUCAACCGAGAUUCCCCCAGUAGCGGCGAGCGAACGGGGAGCAGCCCAGAGCCUGAAUCAGUGUGUGUGUUAGUGGAAGCGUCUGGAAAGGCGCGCGAUACAGGGUGACAGCCCCGUACACAAAAAUGCACAUGCUGUGAGCUCGAUGAGUAGGGCGGGACACGUGGUAUCCUGUCUGAAUAUGGGGGGACCAUCCUCCAAGGCUAAAUACUCCUGACUGACCGAUAGUGAACCAGUACCGUGAGGGAAAGGCGAAAAGAACCCCGGCGAGGGGAGUGAAAAAGAACCUGAAACCGUGUACGUACAAGCAGUGGGAGCACGCUUAGGCGUGUGACUGCGUACCUUUUGUAUAAUGGGUCAGCGACUUAUAUUCUGUAGCAAGGUUAACCGAAUAGGGGAGCCGAAGGGAAACCGAGUCUUAACUGGGCGUUAAGUUGCAGGGUAUAGACCCGAAACCCGGUGAUCUAGCCAUGGGCAGGUUGAAGGUUGGGUAACACUAACUGGAGGACCGAACCGACUAAUGUUGAAAAAUUAGCGGAUGACUUGUGGCUGGGGGUGAAAGGCCAAUCAAACCGGGAGAUAGCUGGUUCUCCCCGAAAGCUAUUUAGGUAGCGCCUCGUGAAUUCAUCUCCGGGGGUAGAGCACUGUUUCGGCAAGGGGGUCAUCCCGACUUACCAACCCGAUGCAAACUGCGAAUACCGGAGAAUGUUAUCACGGGAGACACACGGCGGGUGCUAACGUCCGUCGUGAAGAGGGAAACAACCCAGACCGCCAGCUAAGGUCCCAAAGUCAUGGUUAAGUGGGAAACGAUGUGGGAAGGCCCAGACAGCCAGGAUGUUGGCUUAGAAGCAGCCAUCAUUUAAAGAAAGCGUAAUAGCUCACUGGUCGAGUCGGCCUGCGCGGAAGAUGUAACGGGGCUAAACCAUGCACCGAAGCUGCGGCAGCGACGCUUAUGCGUUGUUGGGUAGGGGAGCGUUCUGUAAGCCUGCGAAGGUGUGCUGUGAGGCAUGCUGGAGGUAUCAGAAGUGCGAAUGCUGA